rnacentral:lncRNA from 1 species
CAAACUGUAGCUGACCCAUGAGUAAAGCACUUUUCCAAAGGGGGAGGGUGUUCAAUGUUCUUAAAUGACAAAUUUGUGAUGGCAUUAAUUAGUGUGCCGAAACUUCUAAAGCCACUAACUAGAUCUUCUUGUUUUUUUCUGUGAGUGCUGUGGUAACCUAGUGUGUGUAUACAGAAGUGGGGCAGGCAACUUAGAAACCCUUUAUCGAUAUGCUGUGCUAUCAUAUGACAACCUUGGGCUCCACGGUGUAAAUGAGGGGCUAGGUGCCUUCCAGCCUUCAAGAGAUACAGGUUGCCCUUUCCCUGGAGUUUGCAGUCACUCUACAUUUCAGAAUACGGAACUGGUGAGAUGGGACAAAGGUCGUGAGAAUCUGAGAUACGGGCCUUUAAUGAAGUACUAUGAAAAACUGCAAGGGGGUACCUGCAAAUAUUGGGAAGACAAAGCGAAAGGACCCACCCCUGUCCCCCAUGAGGAGGAGAGAGAAACCUCCAUGGAGUAGAGGCCACUCUGACGCGUAAGUGGAUAAAUCACGCACCGGAAGCACAAACCUAAGAGGAUAGAGGCUGUGGAGGAAUCAGGUCUUUUGGGUAAUAAACGUCAAGUUUAUCAAGUCGUGAUGUCCAGGCUGUGAGCUAACUGGUUUCGAAUACAGUGCAAAAAAAAAAAAAGACCCUAGGCCAUUCGAUACUCAUUUUCCAGGAGAGGAAGUAGGCUCUAGAAGUCAGGACCUUUGCUAAAGUCACGCUUGUAUGUAAGGUAACCCCAGGGCAGUCGGGAGCUCAGCAUAGAAGCUGUUUUUUGCUACCCUGUGCUGCCUCCAGCAGGCCUGAGCCACCGCCUUCCUUGCGUGGGAGAGGCCUCCAAGCUGUUUUUCCUGAGCCAGUGGGGCUGGCUCUGGCAGAGAGUGGAAG